ACAGGGUCCUCGGUUCACAUCCAGCUGCGAUCUCCUCCCAUACCACAUAUGCAACCUGACAUCUGGACCAAUACAGAAGUGUUCGCCCUUGAGCGACAUCUGGAUGCCCGUCUUCUCCCCUGCUACCUUUUCCAAAUCAUCGACGAAGUAAAGGCUUCCACCAGCCGGGAAGGGGAUCGACAUGAUGUGGGACUCGAGCUUAACAAGCUGACGCAAGACGGAUGCGAGAUCCGCUUCCUUUAACUGCAUCCACAGGUCGGUGAGCUUCGUACCCUUCACGAACUCCAUGAAAAUGUACUCGGUCUUCGCAGCGUUGUCCGAUGUAGGAGAGUAGCCGUACACCUUGGGAACGGGCAGGUCAUGGGCACGGAGGAAGGCCAUCGUGGCAACCUCACUGGCAACGGCGUAGAACUUGGGUUGCGUGACGGGGUACGGGAUGCGAGCGAUCAUCUGGAACCCG
rnacentral:lncRNA from 1 species